ACACUUACACUGUACAUGUGAAUGUGUGUGUAAGCGUCAGAGGACGUCCGGGUCUUGGUUGAGACAAAAGACAAGAGCCAGUCGUUAGAAGUAUCUGGAAGAGUCGGUUGACAACAAGCGUGCGUGCGAGUAGGAUUUUGAGGUCUUUAGAGUAUAAGAUAUAUGUAUAACAGUUGUGUGCUAAAUAAAGGGAAUUAUUU
rnacentral:misc_RNA from 1 species